UACCCGCGAUGGGGGCUGGGCCGCCCUGGGGUGUGGGGAGACAAAGCGAUCCACAUCCAGGUCCCCUCUUUCCUGCUUUGGGGCUCGGUGCCCGGGCUGUCUCCUCCUCAUGCUGGUGGCCUUGCUCAUAUCAGGUGUCUGAAGGAGGCAGGUUCUGAGCAUCUGUGUCCUGAUGGCUGCUGGAGCUUCUACUCCGGGUUCAAGGGCAGGAGAGCCCAACACUUCACAUCUUUCUUUGGAUAUGCCGCCUGGCUCAAGGUGACAGCAGAUGGCUGGAGUUCUGGUGUGAUGUGGCUGGAUGAUGCAUGAUCUGAGGACCCCUGCACUGGUGAAUGUGGGUGGAACAUCAGAGAAGGGUGUGGACUCUGAGCCCCAGGAGCAUGAGCUGAUAGAGAAGAACCAAGUGUGUUGUCGAGUCUGCUAGACAGGUUCCUGGAGCAAGAGUGAGGAGAUC